UACGUAGGGUCCGAGCGUUAAUCGGAAUUACUGGGCGUAAAGCGUGCGCAGGCGGUUUUGUAAGCCAGAUGUGAAAGCCCCGGGCUUAACCUGGGAAUGGCAUUUGGGACUGCAAGGCUGGAGUACGGCAGAGGGAGGUGGAAUUCCAGGUGUAGCGAGUGAAAUGCGUAGAUAUCUGGAGGAACACCGAUGGCGAAGGCAGCCUCCUGGGCUAGUACGUGACCGCUCAUGCACGAAAGCGUGGGGAGCAAACAGGAAUUAGA
rnacentral:rRNA from 1 species